UAGUCAUAUGCUUGUCCCAAAGACUAAGCCAUGCAUGUCUAAGUAGGAAUGUUAUACAGUGAAACUGCGAAUGGCUCAUUAAAACAGUUAUUGUUUAUUUGAUAAUCAAAUUUCCAUGGAUAACCGUGGUAAUUCUAGAGCUAAUACAUGCUGAUAUGCCUGAGUAUUAGGAAGGGCUGUAUUUUUUAGAUAACAAAACCAUAUUCCUCGUGUCUAUUGUGAUGACUCAUAAUAACUGAUAGAAUCGCAUGGACUUUGUCCGGGGUACAUCAUUCAAGUUUGUGCCCCAUCAGCUUUCGAUGGUAGUGUAUUGGAUUACCAUGGUUUUAACGGGUAACGGAGGAUUAGGGUUUGAUUCCGGAGAGGGAGCCUGAGAAUCGGCUACCACAUGUAAGGAAGGCAGCAGGCGCGUAAAUUACCCAAUCGUAAUUCAGGGAGGUAGUGACAAGAAAUAACGGAUUGAGGCUUACGGUUCCGGAUUGCAAUGAGUAGAAUUUAAACCCCUUUGCGAGGAUCAAGU
rnacentral:rRNA from 1 species